rnacentral:rRNA from 1 species
UACGGAGGGUGCGAGCGUUAAUCGGAAUUACUGGGCGUAAAGCGCGCGUAGGCGGUCUGAUCAGCCGGUUGUGAAAGCCCCGGGCUCAACCUGGGAACGGCAUCCGGAACUGUCAGGCUAGAGUGCAGGAGAGGAAGGUAGAAUUCCCGGUGUAGCGGUGAAAUGCGUAGAGAUCGGGAGGAAUACCAGUGGCGAAGGCGGCCUUCUGGACUGACACUGACGCUGAGGUGCGAAAGCGUGGGUAGCAAACAGGAUUAGAUACCUGGGUA